AGGGGCAGAUGGAGGCCGGAGCAGAGCGCCACGAGGCAAGCAGAGAAGUGCGAGCUCCUCCCUCCCCUCCGACCCACGCCACGCCGCCGCCAAUAACGACCAACUCACGUGCCCUAUCCUUCUCCUUCUCCCCCCUUUUGUUCGUCUCCUAAACCGCCGCCAGCAUGGACGCCAAGAAGAGGUCGCCGCCCGCCCCCUCGGCCGCCGGAGCCGCGCCCCCCGCGGCCAACGGAUACUUCAACUCCGUCUUCUCCGCGCCGGCGUCGCCUGCGGCAAAUCCAAGAGACGCCAGGCAGAUGGACCUGUACACGAUACUGAACAAGCAGAACCCCAAAGGGCAGAGUGGUGGGGGCAUUGCAGGUAAUGCCAAAUCCCAUGGCAGCCCUACUAUAGGUCGUGUUGCUUACCAAGAUGGAAAACAGUUUUAUCCAAACGAGUCCUCAGAGUCACCUUAUUUUGGCUCGUCUGUGCAUUACGGUGGCCGGGACUUCUAUGACAGCUCUCCACACAAGCAAGCUGAUGAAUCACCCAGAAAUUAUAAGGAGGAUAAUGCGGAUGGCUCCCUGGCUACCAGAGGUGAUUGGUGGCAAGGUAUGGCAUUUACUGACCGUUUGGAUAUUAUCUAGAAAUGAUGAAACACAUACGUGCUGACUAUAAUUUUCUGUCAGGUUCGCUUUACUACUAAAAAUACUUUGCAAUGGACUCUCCUACUGUGAACAAGGAAUAAAAAGGAGUACGUCGAGCUGGUAGGCUGUAGAGUUGACAUGAGUCAUCAGGCAUAAGAAAAGUCAUAGUGGAACUACAUCUGUUCCGUCGGUGGUGGCAGUAUUUAGAUGCAUCAGUCACCUAGGCAGACGUAGACGUACCAUGUGUCUCUUUUCUUUGCCUUACUAGAUUUGAGUGAUGAAAUGUAAUGGGACUGGUAGGGCAGCAGCAAGUAGGUCCUACAAAAAGUUGCUGCUAUUUUGCAACUGACGAGAUCACUUGCUGUAUGCGUUAUGUAUCCUAGUUCGUGGUUGUGUUUUGGUAAUAUUUGGAUUUGCACAUCUGUUUCGGUCUACCAUUUGUUUGCUGACAGAACCAUGAUAUGAACUUGUGACAAUGGUUUA